CCUACGGGAGGCAGCAGUGGGGAAUUUUGGACAAUGGGCGCAAGCCUGAUCCAGCAAUGCCGCGUGAGUGAAGAAGGCCUUCGGGUUGUAAAGCUCUUUUGUCAGGGAAGAAACGGCAGUUUCUAAUACAGAUUGCUAAUGACGGUACCUGAAGAAUAAGCACCGGCUAACUACGUGCCAGCAGCCGCGGUAAUACGUAGGGUGCAAGCGUUAAUCGGAAUUACUGGGCGUAAAGCGUGCGCAGGCGGUUUUGUAAGUUUGUCGUGAAAUCCCCGGGCUCAACCUGGGAAUGGCGAUGAAGACUGCAAGGCUAGAAUCUGGCAGAGGGGGGUAGAAUUCCACGUGUAGCAGUGAAAUGCGUAGAGAUGUGGAGGAACACCGAUGGCGAAGGCAGCCCCCUGGGUCAAGAUUGACGCUCAUGCACGAAAGCGUGGGGAGCAAACAGGAUUAGAUACCCUGGUAGUCCACGCCCUAAACGAUGUCUACUAGUUGUCGGGUUUUAAUUAACUUGGUAACGCAGCUAACGCGUGAAGUAGACCGCCUGGGGAGUACGGUCGCAAGAUUAAAACNCAAAUGAAUUGACCGNNGAGAGNGCGAGACGACGACGAGGGAGGAGG
rnacentral:rRNA from 1 species